rnacentral:lncRNA from 1 species
GACUGUUGAUUAUUGAAAUGUAUAUCUUUGGCUUACGUGUAAAGAUGGACUAUUGAUUAUUGGUUUUAUAGUUGUAUAUCUUUGGCUUACGUGCAGAGAUGGACUUGGUAUGAUUAUGACCAGGGAUUUUUCGGUAUAAUCAUGACCUGUAAUGUUAUAAAUGAUGUGGUAAAAGUCCUCAGUAGCCUGUAGUGCAUUGAUGAAUAGUUUUUAGUAUAAUUAUGAC